rnacentral:tRNA from 2 species
GCCGAUGUAGCUCAGUCGGUAGAGCAACGCAUUCGUAAUGCGUGGGUCGGGGGUUCGAGUCCCUCCAUCGGCACCA